UACGAAGGGGGCUAGCGUUGUUCGGAAUCACUGGGCGUAAAGCGUACGUAGGCGGACCAUUAAGUCGGGGGUGAAAUCCCAGGGCUCAACCCUGGAACUGCCUUCGAUACUGGUGGUCUGGAGUCCGGGAGAGGUGAGUGGAACUCCUAGUGUAGAGGUGAAAUUCGUAGAUAUUAGGAAGAACACCAGUGGCGAAGGCGGCUCACUGGCCCGGUACUGACGCUGAGACGCGAAAGCCAGGGGAGCGAACGGG
rnacentral:rRNA from 1 species